rnacentral:rRNA from 1 species
UACGGAGGAUUCAAGCGUUAUCCGGAUUUACUGGGUGUAAAGGGAGCGUAGACGGCUAAUCAAGUCAGAAGUGAAAACCCAGGGCUCAACCUUGGGACUGCUUUUGAAACUGAGUAGCUAGAGUGCAGGAGAGGUAAGCGGAAUGCGUGGUGUAGCGGUGAAAUGCAUAGAUAUCACGCAGAACUCCGAUUGCGAAGGCAGCAUACCGGCGCCCAACUGACGCUCAGGCACGAAAGCGUGGGUAUCGAACAGG